rnacentral:rRNA from 1 species
AACGAACGCUGGCGGCGUGGCUAAGGCAUGCAAGUCGUACGGGACUUCGAAUGUAGUAAUACGUUCGGGGUUCAGUGGCGGACGGGUGAGUAAUGCAUGGGUAACGUGCCUUUCACGUCAGGGAUAACGGUCGGGCCCGCAAGGGCCCUUUGCGAAAGUGACGGUAAUACCUGACGACAUCGCGGAUUGGCAUCUUUCUGCGAUCAAAGGUGGGGACCGUAAGGCCUACCGGUGAUUGAGCGGCCCAUGUCCUAUCAGCUAGUUGGUGAGGUAAUGGCUCACCAAGGCUUUGACGGGUAGCCGGCGUGAGAGCGCGACCGGCC